UUUACUUUUUUAAAAUGUCUCAGAAAGCCAUUGAAAUUCAGAGUUGCAAGCCUCUGGCAGAUUGGUCACGAACCCUCCCAGGGUUAACCUGCCGAAGCAACAGAAACAAAGUUCGCAAGGGUUGAGAGUGUAACUCAGUAAUGAUCCCUCCGCUGGUUCACCAACGGAGA
rnacentral:misc_RNA from 1 species